CCGUUGCCGGCGACCGGCGCACGGGUGAGUAACACGUAUGCAACCUGCCCGUGGCAGGGGGAUAAGCGGGGGAAACCCCGUCUAACACCGCGUAACGCGGCCUUGGGGCAUCCCAAGGCCGCCAAAGGGAGCAAUCCCGGCCACGGAUGGGCAUGCGGCGCAUUAGCUAGUCGGCGGGGUAACGGCCCACCGAGGCGACGAUGCGUAGGGGUUCUGAGAGGAAGGCCCCCCACACUGGUACUGAGACACGGACCAGACUCCUACGGAAGGCAGCAG
rnacentral:rRNA from 1 species